rnacentral:piRNA from 1 species
CCCUCUAUCAGCAGGCGUGGGAGA